rnacentral:tRNA from 1 species
GAGAGAUGUCUGAGCGGUUGAAAGAGCCGGUCUUGAAAACCGGUGACGUGCGAGCGUCCGUGGGUUCGAAUCCCACUCUCUCC